rnacentral:rRNA from 1 species
UACGUAGGGUCCGAGCGUUGUCCGGAAUUACUGGGCGUAAAGAGCUCGUAGGUGGUUUGUCGCGUUGUUCGUGAAAACUCACAGCUUAACUGUGGGCGUGCGGGCGAUACGGGCAGACUUGAGUACUGCAGGGGAGACUGGAAUUCCUGGUGUAGCGGUGGAAUGCGCAGAUAUCAGGAGGAACACCGGUGGCGAAGGCGGGUCUCUGGGCAGUAACUGACGCUGAGGAGCGAAAGCGUGGGGAGCGAAC